UGCUUCCUCUAGGUCUCCUGCCCUGUGGCCUUCAGUGCACUCAGGGCAGGCCCUUAAGGAAUCCCACCUCUUCCGGUAGGGCCUGCGGUGCCACUGGCUUCCCUUGCUGACUGAAGAUGAGGCGGCGUCUGGAGACGGGAGACACCUGUCUGGAAGGCAGCCAGUUCAGGGCAUUGCAGGGCCUCCGCCCCAGGCAGAGGUGGACUUGUGACACCAGCCUCACCAUGGCCAGGUGGCCCGCAGGGGAUGGAGGGAAGUCUCACCUGCAUUUCAAAGACUCCUGAAGGCAGAGCCUGUGACGUGGGUGAAGCUGCAGGAAGGACGCCCGGCCAUGGAGCCCCUCCCAGCAAGCCUGCUGUGAGCGCCCCCCGUGCCCCAGCACACGUCACGGAUACUGAAGACGGACGUUUGUGCGCUGCAGCAUCAGGCUCUGUAAGGUCACCAUCACUGCUGUUUUGCUGCAGGGUCUCCUUGCGUUGCCCAGGCUGGUCUGGACUUCCCUGCUCCCUCCUCCUCCUGAGCUGGAAAACAGGCGUGGCCACCACGCCCAACCAAGGUUGACGCUUAAAAAGUCAUAAAAUGAAGUCUUUGGAGCAGUGUCCGGGUCACAGCACCACUGAGGGGAGGCACAGAGCCCUCGCUCCUUCACG